UUGCUUUUAAUUAAUAAUUUUAAUUUCCCAGUAUUCACCUAUUCACCCUCAUCUAGGUGAUAUCAAGGUCGAACUAGUCACUUUUCAAUAGGAUAUGAUGUUAUUACUAUAUAUUUCCAAUAAUUAGUUUAAAAACACCAUACAUACUCAAAAAUAUUUUUCAGAAGAGUCUAAAAUGCAUAGGUGGCAACCUAAAGUUCAUUUCAAUUUUCCAUCAGCAAUAAAAAUCCAUUUAUAUAUAUGACAAUUUAAAAUUUAAAAUUUUGGUAUAAAUCCAGGUGAGGACACUAAUAAACCAAUUAAAAUAGAUUUAAUCAAUAUUUCAAAAAAACACAUUUAAGCAUUAAGAUGGACCUAGUCACCUAACCACACUUCACUUAUUUAUGCCUUGUCCAUUUAGGCUAGUAAAAGUUUGAAGUUUAGCCUUGGCAUGCAGACACACUUGAUGCCUUUUCGAACAUUGAUUCAAUAUAUAAAGUAAGUUUAGGAUAUCUAAUUACUUACCAUUGAAAUGGUUGCUACUCAAAUCUAAUAAUACAAGUUCAGAUAUCUUUCCAAUUUCAUUUGAAAUAUUUCCCGUCAAUACAAACAAGUAGAACUUAAAAUAUCUAAUGUUAGAUUAACACAAAAUAUAUCUAAUUAAAUAGAAGAAGAACCGAAUAAUUUUAUUUCAAUGAUUAAAUAUACAGAAGUUAUUUUUGAGCAAUUUACUUCUAAUUACUAUUAUGAAAAUACCGUACAUGCUGAAAAACAUUUGUCAAAAAAGUGUAAAAUAUCUAGGUGGUAACCUAUUUAGAUUUUCCAUCAGCAUAAAUAAUUUAUAUAUAUGACCAUUUAAAUUUAGAGUUUUGGUUACAUUUAAUCCAUAAAAUAAGUUUAGGAGAUCUAGUUACAUACCACUAAAGGAGUUGUCACCAAGUUCCAACCGUGUAAGCUUAGGGAAAUUUGAAAUAGAUGUAGGAAUUUUUCCACUCAGCUGGUUGCGACAAAGAUAGAGACCUUUUAGAUUAGGGAGCCCAUUGGCUAUUGAUGAUGGAAGAAUUCCUGAGAUACUAUUGUUAUUAGAAUCGAGCAUUUGCAACAUGGAGAGACUGAAGAUGGAUUCUGGUAUUUGACCCUCAAUACUGUUAUUAGCAAUACUCAAUUCCUUCAAAGUUGAUAAACUGCCAAUUGAAUGUGGAAUUUUACCUGUAUUGUAGAGUACUCUCGAGUUUGCCAAUGCAUUCAAAUUAACGAAUACAAAAAAGUACUAAUAAGUACAUAAAUAGAUACCUGUUAAGAUAUUUGAACCCAAAUAUAAAUAUUGAAGUGCUGAUGUGUUUCCAAUUUCAUUUGGAAUGCUUCUUGUGAAUACAUUUUUGGAUAUUAAAAAUUGAAAUCCAAAAGCCAAAUAUUUAAAAUUUCAAAAAGUUAUUAUCAAAUAAUAAUACUAGAAUUAGUUAAUUUUAUUGAAAAUAUAAAUGUUUUAAAUCCUGUAUUUUUGUUUCUAAAUUUUAUUAUUGAAGUAAGAAUGAUUAUAGAAUGACAAAUGAAUGAUGUAUCACUUAAUUUAGAAGAUUAAAUGAUUAAAUAAACAAUAAUGCGGUGCAAAAGGAAACGCAGAAUGAACCUAAAAAUAUGUCUAUUCAUACAAUGCUUGUGAAUUUAUUCGUUGAUUUGCAAUUGUAUAUUGAAUAGUUGGUUUAGAUGGAAAAAUCAUUAAUUCUGCCUAAUACCAAUUUAGGCGGAAAUUGUUGAAGAAAAACUCUUACUACUUUAUAAUUUUCUAAUCAAAGUAUUCCAGUGUACAAAGCUCAUCUUUGCAGCUAACAAAGAAACCCCUAAUCAUUAAUCGUAACUAAAAUUGCGUCCAGGGUCCUCUAUUCCAAUUAAUAAUGAAAUAAAAAAAAUAUUGACUAAUUAUUGUAAUGAGGCUGUAGCCGCUAGCAGUAUCUACCUUCAUCCCAUGCUGAUUGGGUACUUAGGAUUUGAUGUUAUUAUGAUGCAUUUAAUUAUUUGGAAAAUGCUAUACAUGUUUAAACAUAUUUGUCAAAGCUAAUUUUAUUCAUUCUGCCGUCAAGCCAUAUUGAAUAUUGUAUCAUUUUGUAUGUCUAAAAGGGUGUGAUGACAACUUCAAUUCUUUAGGUAGGAAUUAAAGAUGGGUUUGUUGGUCAAUGUUUCUACAUGCUCUUGCAUGAAUAAUUUAUAGGCCAAAAUAGGUUCUCAGUUUCAAAAUGCGCAAUUGAGGUUUCGUGGGGUAAGUAUUAAAGGCGGAUCCAGGAUUGAAUUUAAGGAGGGGCUAAAGAAAUUUCAAGCCAACCUAAUACGCGUAACAAAAAAUAAAAAAUAAAAAAAUUUACACAUUGAAAAUCUGUUUUUAAAAAAAAAAAAAAAAAGAGGAAAAUUACCCUUACAAAAAUAAUUGGCCCACGUGGGGUGGGGUGGGGACUACAACCAGUCCCCCACAACCCCCUAAAUCCGUCAGUACAUACAUAAUUUUUAAUCUUGCUGACAAUCAAUUGAGCGGAGAAAUUCCUACCUAUGUUUCAAAUUAUUCUAAGCUUACUGUCUUGGAUCUUUAUAACAACUCCUUCAGUGGACGAGUACCCAUGAAUCUUGGGAAUUUACAAAACCUACAAAAACUAAAAUUGGAUGAUAAUGAGUUGACAAAUGAUCCGUCAAUGAUCAAAUUGGAUUUUCUUAUUUCAUUAAGCGUAACUGAAAUUGCAUCCUAGGUCCUCAAACUAACAAAUAGAAAAAACUAAUAAUGAAAAUAUUUUAAAGUAUUGACUAAAUAUUAUGAUUCGGGUAGCCUCUAAUGGUAUCCAUCUUCAUCCUAAGCUGAUUGGGUACGUAGGUGUUAGGAUUUUAUUGUAUUAGCAAUUCUUUAGAUAAAAGAAUUGAAGUAAAAAACUGUAAAAGUCAAGGAGUAAGUUGCAAUAUUGUAUAGAUUUAGAUAAGUUAGGGUUCAAGUUUGGAACAAUGAAGAAAAAGUUGCCGGAUUUAUGCUAGCCUAUCGCCCAUCUCAUGCUCUAGCGGCAACAACAAAAACUCUAUUGCCCACCUGUCACCCAAAUAUCGCUCGAGCGACAAACCGUUACUCGCUAGUCAUUGAGAUCUAGCUCGAGCAACAGUGUUAAAUGCAAAACCCUAGUUCGCGUUUUUCAAAAGUUUUAUUAGGCCUAUACGUAAUUACCUUCUACUAUAUAUACCAAACCCUAAACAUGAAUUUGGUAAUUGUUCAUUAUAUUCCUUCCACAUAUAAUCAUUCAAAAAUUCAAGAACAUAUUCAACCCUUUGAUUCUUCUAUUGAUUCUUGAGUUCUUACAACCACGAAUUUGGAAAAAACAUCAAGCUUUCAUAAUCCGAAACACCCACUUUCUAUACACAUACAUAAAGGUACUUUCUCAAGAUUUUUCAUCGGCCAGUGAGAAAUUGAGGGAGGUUGGACUAGAAGCACGGGAAGAGCACAAGAACGAGGUGUUCUUGGUAAUCCACACAAGAUAGAUAAUUCCAAAAGAUCGGGAACAAGUGUGAGUGAAGUACGUUUCAACGGGUCUUGGAAAUUACAAAAUGUUAAUCAGCAAGUCUAGUGAAAUCUUCUAGGCUGGAUUGUACUAUAAGCUCAUCAUUAUCUAUAGUGGAGCUUACUAGCUUGGUCCUAAAGUUUUUACCUAGUUGGAUUUCUCCGUCAACAAUUAUUGUGUUCUAUAUUUUGUUAAUUACUGAUUGGUGUGUUCAAACUUAGAAUAAUUGGACUUGAUUUACUAAUUAUCUAGAAACAAUUAAAAAAUCACUUGUUGCUUAUAAUUAAUAAUUUUAAUUUCCAAGUAUUCACCUAUUCACCCCAUCUAGGUGAUAUCAAGGUCGAACUAGUAACUUUUCAAUAGGAUAUGAUGUUAUUACAAUGUAUUUCUAAUAAUUAGUUUAAAAACACCAUACAUGCCCAAAAAUAUUUUUCAAAUGAGUGUAAAAUGCAUAGGUGGCAACCUAAAGUUCAUUUCAA
rnacentral:lncRNA from 1 species